UGGGGAAUUUUGCACAAUGGGGGAAACCCUGAUGCAGCGACGCCGCGUGAUUUAGAAGGCCUUCGGGUUGUAAAAAUCUUUUCUAUGGGAAGAAAAUGACAGUACCAUAGGAAUAAGGACCGGCUAAUUACGUGCCAGCAGCCGCGGUAAUACGUAAGGUCCGAGCGUUGUCCGGAAUCAUUGGGCGUAAAGGGUACGUAGGCGGGUAAGCAAGUUUGAAGUGAAAUCCUAUAGCUCAACUAUAGUAAGCUUUUAAAACUGCUCAUCUAGAGGUAUGGAAGGGAAAGUGGAAUUCCUAGUGUAGCGGUGAAAUGCGCAGAUAUUAGGAGGAAUACCGGUGGCGAAGGCGACUUUCUGGCCAUAACCUGACGCUGAGGUACGAAAGCGUGGGUAGCAAACAGG
rnacentral:rRNA from 1 species